rnacentral:rRNA from 1 species
AUUGAACGCUGGCGGCAUGCUUUACACAUGCAAGUCGAACGGUAACAGGCCGCAAGGUGCUGUCGAGUGGCGAACGGGUGCGUAAUGCAUCGGAACGUGCCCAGUCGUGGGGGGUAACUACUCGAAAGAGUAGCUAAUACCGCAUACGAUCUAUGGAUGAAAGCGGGGGACCGUAAGGCCUCGCGCGAUUGUAGCGGCCGAUGUCAGAUUAGGUAGUUGGUGGGGUAAAGGCUCACCAAGCCAACGAUCUGUAGCUGGACUGAGAGGACGACCAGCCACACUGGGACUGAGACACGGCCCAGACUCCUACGGGAGGCAGCAGUGGGGAAUUUUGGACAAUGGGCGCAAGCCUGAUCCAGCAAUGCCGCGUGCAGGAAGAAGGCCUUCGGGUUGUAAACUGCUUUUGUACGGAACGAAACGGCUCUGGUUAAUACCCGGGGCUAAUGACGGUACCGUAAGAAUAAGCACCGGCUAACUACGUG